CUGCAAUUUAGUGACAAUAUGAAGUGCCCCCAAAAAGGUCAUUCACAGUAUGAUCUUCUAUAUAAAAUACGCCCUCUUUUUGCUAACUUUAAUGAAAAAUUUGUCACUAUCUAUACCCCCAAAAAACAUAUUUCUAUUGACGAAUCCCUCAUAACGUAUAAGGGAAGACUGGAGUUUAAACAGUACAUCCCAUCCAAACGAUCCCGAUAUGGGAUCAAAUUUUAUAAGUUGUGUGAAAUCGAAGUAAGGGAUGGCUACCUUGAUCCCCCAGGUUGCCCAGAUAUAG